rnacentral:lncRNA from 1 species
AUGGGUGACACUGUUGUGGGUGUUUACUACAGGCCACCUGAUCAGGAUGAGGAAGUCGAUGAGGCCUUCUACAGACAGCUGGAAGUAGCCUUACGAUCCCAGGCCCUGGUUCUCAUGGGGGACUUCAACCACCCUGAUAUCUGCUGGAAAGACAACGCAGCUAGGCACAAACAGUCCUGGAGGUUCCUGCAGAGCAUUGGUGACAACUUCUUGACCCAGGUGGUGGAGGAGCCAACAAGGAGAGGUGUGCUGCUGGACCUCGUACUAACAAACAAAGAAGGACUGGUGGAAGAUGUGAAGGUCAGGGGCUGCCUUGGCUGCAGUGACCAUGAGAUCGUGGAGUUCAGGAUCCUGCGAGGAGGCAGCAGGGCAAUAAGUAGGAUYGCAACCCUGGACUUCAGGAGAGCAAACUUUGGCCUCUUCAGGGACCUACUUGGAGGAAUCCCAUGGGUUAGGGCCCUAGAAGGACGGGGCGUUCAAGAGAGCUGGUUAAUAUUCAAACAUCACUUCCUCCAGGCUCAAGAUUGGUGCAUCCCUAUGAGUAGGAAGUCAAGCAAAGGAGGCAGGAGACCUGCAUGGAUGAGCAAGGAGCUCCUGGCAAAACUCAACCAGAAGAAGGAAGUAUACAGAAAGUGGAAAGGGGGACAGGCCACUUGGGAGGAAUAUAGGAAUGUUGUCAGAGUAUGCAGGGAUGCGACGAGGAAGGCUAAGGCCCAUUUGGAAUUAAAUCUGGCAAGAAAUGUCAAGGACAGCAAGAAGGGCUUCUUCAAAUACAUCAGUAGCAAGAGGAAGACUAGGGAAAAUGUGGGCCCUUUGCUGAACGGGGUGGGUGCCCUGGUGACGAAGGAUGCAGAGAAGGCAGAGUUACUGAAUGCCUUCUUUGCUUCAGUCUUUACUGCUCAGGACAGCCCUCAGGAACCCCAGAUCCUGGAGGCAAGAGAGAAAGUCUGGAGAGAGGAAGACUUUCCCUUGGUGGAGGAGGAGUGGGUUAGAGAUCAUUUAAGCAAACUUGACAGCCACAAAUCCAUGGGCCCUGAUGGGAUGCACUCAUGA